AUGUUCCACUAAUCAAGAUAGCCUCUUUUACAAUUCUGUUGUCUGCAGCAGCUCCAGCCUUGAACAAAUGUGCCCUUCUGCGGGAGCUCCUGUGAAAUGGCUGGGUUUGAGGAAGAUAAACAAGCUGUGAUGGGAAGCGGGGGCACGUGCCCCACCCUGAGACCGGUUGCUGCUGACUCCGAUGCUGGCCUUUGUGGGCGGUCACCACUCGCCACCCCACCACCGACACUGCUGCCCAAAAACUGUGCCCCCCCCGUCUCAGGAGGCACCAGUCACCCAUGGUUUUACUGUGUUUACCACUGGAAAUAUUUUCCCUGAAAUUUGAUCUAAAUCUCCUUUGCUGCAAUUUAAACUUAAUGUCUGGUGUCCAGGCUUCCGUGCCAAAAGGGAAUAGUUCUCUCCCUCCUAUGGCAGCCUUUCAAAUAUUUAAAAGCUACGAUCACGUCACCCCUUAAUCCAGGGAUUCCUAAAGUUCCAUCCCAGAGGGACGUCUUGGGUGGUGCGACACGUCAAAGGAGCUGCAUUUGGCUUGCGGGCUACACUUUGCAACCCCCUGGUAACUGUUCCAAAAAAGUAUUACCAGGCCAUGGGCUGCAUUGAAGUGGCUUAUUGGCAACGCUGUGGGAACUUGUUUCUUAAUCUUUUUCUGCAGAUUAAACAUACCUAGUUGAGCUUGUCGUCUACCCCUUUAUCAUCUUUGCCACUUUGCUAUAGGCCACUCUGGUUUCUCCACAUCGUUCUUAAAAUAUGAUGCCCCAAACUAGA